UACGUAGGGUGCAAGCGUUAAUCGGAAUUACUGGGCGUAAAGCGUGCGUAGGCGGCUAUGUAAGACAGAUGUGAAAUCCCUGGGCUUAACCUAGGAACUGCAUUUGUGACUGCAUUGCUAGAGUGUGGUAGAGGGAGAUGGAAUUCCGCAUGUAGCAGUGAAAUGCGUAGAUAUGCGGAGGAACACCAAUGGCGAAGGCAAUCUCCUGGACCUGCACUGACGCUCAUGCACGAAAGCGUGGGGGAGCAAACAGG
rnacentral:rRNA from 1 species